AUUGAACGCUGGCGGCAUGCCUUACACAUGCAAGUCGAACGGUAACAGGUCUUCGGAUGCUGACGAGUGGCGAACGGGUGAGUAAUACAUCGGAACGUGCCCGAUCGUGGGGGAUAACUACUCGAAAGAGUAGCUAAUACCGCAUACGAUCUACGGAUGAAAGCGGGGGAUCUUCGGACCUCGUCCGGACGGAGCGGCCGAUGGCAGAUUAGGUAGUGGGUGGGAUAAAAGCUUACCAAGCCGACGAUCUGUAGCUGGUCUGAGAGGACGACCAGCCACACUGGGACUGAGACACGGCCCAGACUCCUACGGGAGGCAGCAGUGGGGAAUUUUGGACAAUGGGCGAAAGCCUGAUCCAGCAAUGCCGCGUGCAGGAUGAAGGCCUUCGGGUUGUAAACUGCUUUUGUACGGAACGAAAAGACUCCUUCUAAUACAGGGGGUCCAUGACGGUACCGUAAGAAUAAGCACCGGCUUACUACGUGCCAGCCGCCGAGUAAAAC
rnacentral:rRNA from 1 species